GACGAACGCUGGCGGCGUGCCUAAUACAUGCAAGUAGAACGCUGAAGAGAGGAGCUUGCUCUUCUUGGAUGAGUUGCGAACGGGUGAGUAACGCGUAGGUAACCUGCCUUGUAGCGGGGGAUAACUAUUGGAAACGAUAGCUAAUACCGCAUAACAAUGGAUGACACAUGUCAUUUAUUUGAAAGGGGCAAUUGCUCCACUACAAGAUGGACCUGCGUUGUAUUAGCUAGUAGGUGAGGUAACGGCUCACCUAGGCGACGAUACAUAGCCGACCUGAGAGGGUGAUCGGCCACACUGGGACUGAGACACGGCCCAGACUCCUACGGGAGGCAGCAGUAGGGAAUCUUCGGCAAUGGGGGCAACCCUGACCGAGCAACGCCGCGUGAGUGAAGAAGGUUUUCGGAUCGUAAAGCUCUGUUGUAAGUCAAGAACGAGUGUGAGAGUGGAAAGUUCACACUGUGACGGUAGCUUACCAGAAAGGGACGGCUAACUACGUGCCAGCAGCCGCGGUAAUACGUGGGUCCCGAGCGUUGUCCGGAUUUAUUGGGCGUAAAGCGAGCGCAGGCGGUUUGAUAAGUCUGAAGUUAAAGGCUGUGGCUCAACCAUAGUUCGCUUUGGAAACUGUCAAACUUGAGUGCAGAAGGGGAGAGUGGAAUUCCAUGUGUAGCGGUGAAAUGCGUAGAUAUAUGGAGGAACACCGGUGGCGAAAGCGGCUCUCUGGUCUGUAACUGACGCUGAGGCUCGAAAGCGUGGGGAGCGAACAGGAUUAGAUACCCUGGUAGUCCACGCCGUAAACGAUGAGUGCUAGGUGUUGGAUCCUUUCCGGGAUUCAGUGCCGCAGCUAACGCAUUAAGCACUCCGCCUGGGGAGUACGACCGCAAGGUUGAAACUCAAAGGAAUUGACGGGGGCCCGCACAAGCGGUGGAGCAUGUGGUUUAAUUCGAAGCAACGCGAAGAACCUUACCAGGUCUUGACAUCCCGAUGCUAUUUCUAGAGAUAGAAAGUUACUUCGGUACAUCGGUGACAGGUGGUGCAUGGUUGUCGUCAGCUCGUGUCGUGAGAUGUUGGGUUAAGUCCCGCAACGAGCGCAACCCCUAUUGUUAGUUGCCAUCAUUCAGUUGGGCACUCUAGCGAGACUGCCGGUAAUAAACCGGAGGAAGGUGGGGAUGACGUCAAAUCAUCAUGCCCCUUAUGACCUGGGCUACACACGUGCUACAAUGGUUGGUACAACGAGUUGCGAGUCGGUGACGGCAAGCUAAUCUCUUAAAGCCAAUCUCAGUUCGGAUUGUAGGCUGCAACUCGCCUACAUGAAGUCGGAAUCGCUAGUAAUCGCGGAUCAGCACGCCGCGGUGAAUACGUUCCCGGGCCU
rnacentral:rRNA from 1 species